UACGAAGGGGGCUAGCGUUGCUCGGAAUCACUGGGCGUAAAGCGCACGUAGGCGGCUUCUUAAGUCGGUGGUGAAAUCCUGGAGCUCAACUCCAGAACUGCCUUCGAUACUGGGAGUCUCGAGUCCGGGAGAGGUGAGUGGAACUGCGAGUGUAGAGGUGAAAUUCGUAGAUAUUCGCAAGAACACCAGUGGCGAAGGCGGCUCACUGGCCCGGUACUGACGCUGAGGUGCGAAAGCGUGGGGAGCAAACAGGGGAUUAAGAAA
rnacentral:rRNA from 1 species